AUUUUUUAUAACUCUCAAAGGAUUGGGUUGGUCAUAGGUGAAGUAAGUGUCGUUCUCAUUGCUUCCUAUCUCACUGUCAUGGUAAACAAACACAAGUGAUAAAUUUGUGAUAUUUUCGGUAGAAGUUUCGUCUAGAAAAUCAAUUUAUAAGUAUAACAUAACAAAACUAAUAUUUGCUUUCUUUGCACUGAUAUUAUUUCUUUCACAUAUAGAGUAGUAUUUAUAGGAAACAUGCGCAAAACAAAUUUACAUGUAGAUUCAUAAUGCAAUAAUAAUACAAACUUUAAAAUAAAUAAUAUUGGUAUACCUUUCUUUCUGCAGGCAAUAUUGCCCCCCAAUGACAUUGUUACAUGAGUUCACGCAUGCUACAACAAAAUAACUCCGCCUAAAUUUCACAAUAUGCUAUGAAAAAUGGUUGUAGAGUCAUGAAAACGUUGAUUUUAGUGAUAUACUUUAUGCU
rnacentral:lncRNA from 1 species